GCCCUUCUUAUAUCAGCUGAUAUCUCAAAGUGCUGUACAGAAACCCAGCCUAAAAACCCCAAACAGCAAGCAAUGUCUCACAUAAUAGGCCUAUGUGAGAGAUAGUUAGUUAGAAGACUAGGCACAAUGUUGCCAUCCAGUGGUAGCUGUUCAAUACCUUCCAAUCAACCACAUGACAAUCAUCUUUUUCCUAUAUUCUGUUUAAUGUUCCUCAGUCUAAACAAAACUUGCUCCACAAUCAAGAAAACGUGUAUAUAUAUAUUCAAACAUCUAUGAAACAAACAAGCCCUCACAGUGUUGGCAGGUCUAGUCAAAUUAAACAUGUCAAACCAAUUUAUCCUUAAGGAAAAGAAAAUAAAACAUUUAAAACAUUCUUACCAGCCAUUUCUAAACAAAAAAACAUUGAAUUACAACUCAAUUCAGUUUAUACUGAUACAGGAGGGUAAAAAAAAGCCAAUUUAAAGUUGCAUCAAUAACUUGCCCUUUUUGGGCAGACUCACUAUAACAGUGUGCAGCCACCAGCACCAACUGAAUUACUUUCACAAUCAUAUCUAUGUAUGUAUAACAUGCAUGUAUGUUAGGUUUAUUAGGCUGCUUUUAGACAGACAGCCCAUUCUGACCCCCCCCCCCACACUAACUGGUCUUUUGACCAAUCAGAUCUGAAACAUAUCUGAUUGUGGAAAACAUUCAGAAUUUGGCUGCCUGGUGAACAGAAUUUUCUUGAGGGAAAAUCAUUUGGGAUCAGCAGUACGUUCUGCAAACAGACAAAUCAUAUCCAUUUUAGUGGUAGAGUGGCCUCACCAGUCUCUCCACUUUCACAAAAGGACCCCGAGGGGGAAAAAAAUGGAAACGGCAAGCUUCCAAACAACCAUUUCAUUUCAAAAGCAAGAGUUAGCCUCGUUUUUAAAAAACAUUUUAUCCAUUCAUAACCAUGUAUUUGAUAACAAGGUGGUAGUAUUUCUGCUUAUUUAAACCACAGGCUUUAAUAUACAUUUAUCUAUAUACACUUACAUUAGAAAGCAGUAGCACUGUCAAGUACAUCAGUUUCAGGCCAGGUUAAAUGGUUCUCUGGUAAUACAGUAUUACGUAAAUAACUAAAGAAACUGGGCAAUGUGGAAGGUAUAAAGAGAACUGGAAAAUAAGUUGUUGAAAUUGUAGGGUACUAGCUAUAAGUAAGCACCAUCUGUAUAUAGGUUUGAAUCUUUAUCUAAAAAGUGUGCGUUCACAAGACUCGAAACCAUAAAAUAAAAACUAAGACCUACAAUGCUGUUGCGAGAUGAAAAUGGGACACUACGUAUUUAUUUGGACAGUUAAGCAACAUUCUCCCCCCCCCCAAUUCGGCUCUAUACUGCAGCAUUUUUAUUUGAGAUUUAAAUGUUUUAUACAGUGACUAAAGAAUGUCACCAUUAAUUGGAAAGUACUUCCAUACAAAUCUGUUAUGUUUUGAGAUUAAAGCACUUUAUGCAUCUACUACCCCCAUUUGAAGGUGUCAUAAGUAUUUGGAGAAAUUCACUUUGUAUUAAAGUAGUCAAGUGUAGUACUUGGUCCCAUAUUCAUGGCACGCAAUGACAUCAAGCUAGUUAAACUACAAACUUGGAUGCAUUCUCAGUUUGUUUUGGUUGCGUUUCAGAUUAUGUUGUGCCCAAUAGAAAUGAAUGGUAAAUAAUGUAGUCAUUUUGGGAGUCACAUAUUGUAAAUAAAAGUAGAAUGUUUUAGAACAUUAAUAAGGAUGUCUCCAUGACUACGGAUAAUCACAAAUAAAUCAUAAAUAAUUACGAGUAAGAAAGUUAAGAGGCAUACAUAUCAUAACCACCCCAAAAAAAUACUAACCACUUAUCGGCAAUGGUGAGAGGUUAGCGAGAUCUUUGUGGCUCAAACUCUCACUCAUCAUUAUUCAAGAUUCAUUCAUGAGUAUCUGUAAUCAAGAUAGUAUCCACAUUAAUGUAGAGGUGUUCAGAAACUUGACUACUUUAACACACAAGUGAAUUUAUCCAAAUAUUUAUGACAUCUUCAAAAUGUUUGCCGUUCAUUUCUAAAAAAAAAAGAAGCUCAAAUAAAAAAAAUAAAACAUUCUGUACUGUCGCCUCGUAUGAAACAUUUGAUCUCAAAUCCAAAAUGCUGGAGUAGAGGGACAUUCAAAGUUUUGCUCCACUGUUCAAAUAAAUACGUAGGAGAGUGUAAAUGUUAGCUAGAAAAUGAGCAGGAUUGUGGUGGGUGGGACAAACAGCUCUAGCUAACCCAUAUAAAUGACCAACUAUCCCAGUUAGAUUCUCUCCAUAAUACUCACAUGACACAUUUAAGCCAGUCCUAAACAUUUGUUCGAGCUUAAAAACACAUUUUUUGCAUGAAUAUACCUACAGUUGAACGACAGAUUGUUAGAAGGAACAAAUAUCUACGAAUGUCAUUGGUGUCGGGUGUCACGUAAUGUUUACAGAGGAGUUGUUAUUGAGGGCUUUCAUUAACGGUUUUAUAUGGUUACGUUUUAUAGGGUUUUUAAGACCGCACUCCCCUCAGAGGCAAAACACUGGUAGGUGAACCUAAACAACAACCCUUCAGUAUUGUGGGCAACCAACCAAUGUGGCACCUGAACACACGGCGGAUAACAUCCCAGAUAACAUAAAAAUAAAAAUAAACUAAUCCGCUCCACAUGUGGUGCUGGUCCUCGAUUGCAGACUCCGUCUCCAUGUCUAUCGCUCUCUUCCAACUGGCGUAGCCUUUCGGAACGCCGUGCUAGGAUCUGACUGGCCUUCCCACUCCGGCCCUGGAGAAAAGGGAAAAUAGCAGAAAUGGGACAAAUCAGCACAACUGUUCUGUCGCGCGAGCUUUGGCUGGAAGGAGGAGAAAAG
ensembl:lncRNA